rnacentral:rRNA from 1 species
UACGUAGGGUGCAAGCGUUGUCCGGAAUUAUUGGGCGUAAAGAGCUCGUAGGCGGUUUGUCGCGUCUGCUGUGAAAACUCGGGGCUUAACCCCGGGCCUGCAGUGGGUACGGGCAGACUAGAGUGCGGUAGGGGAGACUGGAAUUCCUGGUGUAGCGGUGAAAUGCGCAGAUAUCAGGAGGAACACCGGUGGCGAAGGCGGGUCUCUGGGCCGAUACUGACGUGAGGAGCGAAAGCGUGGGGAGCGAACAGG